UACAGGGGGGGCAAGCGUUGUUCGGAAUUACUGGGCGUAAAGGGUCUGUAGGUGGCUUGCUAAGUCAGACGUGAAAUCCCUCAGCUUAACUGGGGAACUGCGUCUGAUACUGGCAAGCUUGAGUGCAGGAGAGGAACGCGGAAUUCCAGGUGUAGCGGUGAAAUGCGUAGAUAUCAGGAAGAACACCAAUGGCGAAGGCAGCUCUCUGGGACGGUACUGACGCUGAGACGCGAAAGCGUGGGGAGCGAACAGG
rnacentral:rRNA from 1 species